rnacentral:piRNA from 1 species
AAAAGGUCUGGUUUUUCUCAAUACAC